rnacentral:misc_RNA from 1 species
AAAAAUAAAUAAAUAAAUAAAUAGACCUAUCAAAUUAUAGACCUUGGUUAAGUAAGUACCCAAAACAGCUUUGGCGUAUAAAAUUUGACCUCAUUUAUUCAUCUGAUGAAAAAGAACUACUGAACAUGAAAGCCGCAGUACAAUUAAUCUCUCAAAAAGGGAACUUGCAAUUCCCAGCCAAAAUUUUUAUACAAUUCAAAGACCUCGCAAUAACGAAUGCCUCCUCCUCUCACGCUUCACUCUCCAGUUGUUAUCGGUGUUCAUGGGCUUCAAGAGUCGCUCUUCUUCCAUUUCAGAUUGGAGCGAAGAUUGCAGCCUUUUUAAAUGUUCACUGCACUGCUUAUGGUCAGAAGAGUUAAUGCUGCUAAAAUUUUGUUCCUCUGGGCUCCAAUGCCUCUCGUAGGGUGAUUGCCACUUCGCUUGCAAAUAAGCAAGCGACCUCCAUGGAGGAAGAGGCAUUGAG